CAAUAAAAGGCAAACAAAGGGCUAGCAAAAGGUACUUCUAUGUUUUGUUAAAACCUUUUAUAAGCCUUUCAUUUAGCAAAAUACUAACAAAAGACUAUUAAGGAUUUUGUGAGUAAUACAUUUUAUUUACCUUUUGUUUCAGAUACUGCCUUUUAUUAAUGUUUCAUUACACUUAUAGUUUGAAAUUUACCUUUUAUUAGCAUUGGAUUGGACUUAUAUUCUUAAAUGUUGCCAUUUGUUUGUAUUUCAUUCCACUUAGAAUCAACACGUACAUAUUUUGUUUGUAUUUCAUUACACUUGCUUUCAAAAACAAGGAGUUUUGUUCAUAUUUCAAUACAUUUGUAGGUUUGAAGGACUUGUUUCACAAAAUCUAGCAUAAACAAAUUAGUUUCAUAUUUCAUUGAUAUUGGCUUAAUACUGCUGCUGUUGUUUUGAAUUUAGAGCUACAUCUACCAUUCACUAUGUUCUUCAUAUACAUAAUUACACUUCUGACGAUUGCAAAGGUUUGUCAGUAAGUAAAUGGCUACUGAGCACUUGCAAAUGCAUAAUAUUCUUUAUCAUACAUAAUCAGCUUUAAGAGAGAUAAUCUGUAAACAGAGACCACUUAAAAUAAUAAUUAAAACUUCUCCUGAAAAAACAAUUCCAAUGUUUUUCUCAUUCCAUAGAAUUCCUUAGAAUUUUUUAAGAUAAUGCAAAGUUUUCCUAGUAAGAUUUUUUUUUAUUUAAAUUGCAGCAAAGAUUACAUUGAAAAUCUUAAGAUUUGUUUGGAUUAUACUAGGUAUCCAAAUUAAUUGAAAUGAAACAAGGAAUCUAACUAAUUAAAAUUUAUGUCAAUGUUUUCAUUUUGUAUAUUAAAAGGAUGUUAAUUAGAAUUCUAUCAUUUAUUUAUAAUUAAUAUAACAAGAUAUAUCAUUGAAAACAGGGUCCUAUUUAUAAAUUAUAUAAGCUAUUUAUUUUUUGGUUAUUGAACACCUCAAACAACAGCACCAGAUAAUAGGCAUUAAAAGUCAUGUCAUAAGUACAACAAAUUGUAAAUGAUAUUAUGCUUUUGAUAUAAUGUUACAUCCUCAUAAAUAAAUUAGUCUAUUCUUUUGAUGAUUGGCAAUGAUUAAUUAUCCUGCUUUUACAGCCACUUCAUUUACUGCUGUUCAAUGUAUACACAUGUGUUAAGGAGGUAGGUUACCUUUAUAUUUGUAUGUGCGCAUGUCCAACCGGAAGCUAACGUGACGAUUUACGACGACGUUUACGACAAACUAAAUGUGUUUGUAUAUUCAUUCUUCAGAAAAUAAAUCAUAGACCUGUCUUCGAUCUGACGCUUUAUGGUUUAAUAAUGCAGAAAUAAUGAAUAAAUUGCCGCAGAAACGCUUCAAAACAAUGUUGCCUUAAAAUGACGUCAUUGACGUCAUGACGUUACGUGUCAGUUACCUCGCAAAAUAAUAGCUUUUUUCUUGAAAGUACGUAAUUCUGUGCAUUUUCUUUAUUCAAACUAUUUUCAAAUAACCAUUUUUUGCAGAAAUAUUUUUCAUGAGUCUUUUGCUCUGAAUAAUAAUCAAUAUUUUGCUUCUUUUAUGUAGUUAUAUUGAAAUGUUAUGCGGAAUGUAAGAAAAUGGAUGAUGGUAACCAAUGUUAUUUGGAAUAUAGCUGGGUGAGAGGUUACUUGUUACGGCCAUUUUCAAAUAUAAAAUCUAGCAGUUUGAUUUGUAAUACCUAUUUUUCAGGUUCCGUUGAUAAUUUGUUACUUAUAUACUAAAACUAAGAUCUAAAAUUGUUCAAAUUUCAGUAGAAAAUUGUGGUUUCUUGAAUCGAAUUGAUGUUACCAUGGAAACGAAGCCCGUGACCUAUGUAUCUAAAUGUAAAAUUCAAAAGCGUUGACACUAGUCUAUUUAAGAAACACAGCUUCGGCUUUUUAUUUUCAUUUCAACAAUAUCUAUGAGAAUAAUAGUAGCAUGCUGAACGAUUCUUCCAUGAAAAAUGCCAGACGAGGGGUACUGCUGUAAGUAUUCUAAGCUUAGAAAUUUGUUUGAAAAAUGCAGAUAACACGAAAAUAUAACUUACGUUAGAAAUAAUAUGUUUUAAAGCUACAUCAACUAGAAAGAUAAUCUUAUUCAAUAUUAUUUUAUAAGAAAUUACGACAAAAAAAAGAUAUAAGUCAUUUUAAACAUCUCUGUUGCCAUGGUUACUUUAAUCUUUAAGAAAAAUAGGGUACCAUGUAUAGUGCUUGGUAUUUUGCUAAUAAUAUUACCCAAAUAUUCCAUGUUGGUCAUUAACAGAAUGGCACUGAAGCCGUCGAAAACCCCUAUUUUUAUACAUAAUUGUUUAAAAAUGAGAGAAAAUGCGUUACCAUGGAAACACGAGCCCCGCGACAUAUACAUUUUAAGCUUAUAUUAGAAAGCUAACGUGCAAACUAGUAAAAUUAUAGAUUAUGCUGACUUCUACGGAUAUCAAUGAAACUAAAACACACUGAAAAGUGUUAAAUAUCCGUAUUUUCCUUCUUCUUUCUAUAUAAAAUACAUUUGGAGGGUCAUGUACUUCAAACCUGGAUAAAAACUGAACUUGAAGGGACAGAGACAAACGAAACUGAGACUUUAGCAGUUAAAAUACAAAAAGAUGCCGCGGUUCAACUAAUUUGAAUUUACCCUUGUAACAAGGUAACCUACCUCCUUAACACACAAAGAUACGGCUUAUCUGAUCAAGAUAAGGACCAAUGAAAAUACAGGCUUCUGAACCGUUUUACACCUGUACACCAAAAAAUAAUCCCCAUCUUUCUGCUUGUUUUUUCUCUGAGAUCUUUGCAAAUGCUGUGAGCAAAUAAAUGGUCAAAUUUUCCCAUGAACUGUAUACUUAUAUAUUUUUAAGAACAUAGAUAUUCCCUUCAGUAACUAUAUAUUGUACCAAAGAAAAUGGCUCAUGAAUACAAAAAUUUGAAUGUAAACAGGAAGUUCAUUGUUCAUGUUGUUGGAGGCAAAUGGAAUAAAGCUAACUUGAAACUCUAAAAUGCUUUUAGAGAGAUAUCAGAUGAAAGAGUGUGCAUAUAUCUAGUUAUCAGAGGUAUAUGCCUAUAUGUAUGAAUUGAUGUAGUUGGAGAAAUCAGAUUGCUUCAGUGCAUGACUAUGCUACAGGAUGAUACAAGAUCACAGACAGAAAUUUGAUCAAGGAUCAAACAUAAAUUACAUAAUACUUCAACUAAAUUAAAUGCAUGGCUGGAAUGAAGUUCCUGACCCUGGUGAUGAUUUUGGAAAAGCAAAGAGACAUUCUGAUGCCACCUUGUAUUGAGCCUGCAAUACUCCAAAAUGAUUUUGUUGUAUUCAUAAUUUUCUAUCAAAUAAUCUUUUAGUUUAAUUUUCAAAUUUAAGCUAAGUGAAUUUUUAUUAUUUUUAACCAGAAGUGUAAAAGCCGCUGGCAGAUGUGUUAUUCCCCUUUGAAUUUUAUUCUUUUUGUUUUUUAUGAAACCCAGAUCUGUCUCAACAUUAGAUUAAAAUAAUUUUGUAAUGAUACUAUUUCUUCUUUUUUUGUUUUGUGUCAAUAUCAGCAAUGUUUUCCAUUGGUUUUCCAUCAAACCUUUCCAAACUCUUGCAAAGAAUUCUUCUAAAAAAUUCCUUCAACUUUAAUGCGAUGAUUUCCAAUGUUCAAAGAGUUCCAUGGACUUUCAACUGCAUUUUCACAGGGCUGCUCCCAUGGGUAUGUGAGUUUAGAUUUAAAUUAAUUUUCAGACUUUUUUUCAUGCCGUUUUUCCAAACUUUUCCAUGGAACAUGUACAGACGGGUGUUUUUGUGACAUAAACACUUUCUAGUUUUAGUUUAUGUUUGGGAUCAUGCAAGAUAUCUGGACAGUUUUUUUUAAAUUCAAAAUCAAGAAUUUAUUUAAUUCUGCAAAACAAACAUUUUGGUUAUAAUAUCUUUCAGUAUUUGUUCAUUGCUGUGAAAUUGAUAAUUGCAUGCAUUUAAAUAACUUUUUACAUUAUUCUUUGGAUCAUAAAUAUAUGUAUAAAAAUGUAUAUAUUGAUUUGUCAAUAGUGUUUGAUUAAUGUGUUCUUACGAAAACUUAAAUAAAAGGCAAUUGAGGAUAUACCUUUUAUUUAUGUUUUGAUAAAAGGUCUCUCUGCCUUUUAUUCAUAUUUUGUUUCCUAUAUUUUAUUUGCAGUUUGUUUCUCAUAUAUAAUGAAUGUGAAUGCCUUUUGUUAGUAUUUUGUUACUACCUUUUAUUCAUGUUUUGUUUCUUUGAAACAAAAUAUUAAUAAAAGGUCUCUCUGCCUUUUAUUCAUAUUUUGUUCCCUAUAUUUUAUUUGCAAUUUGUUUCUCAUGUAAUGAAUGUGAAUGCCUUUUGUUAGUAUUUUGUUACUACCUUUUAUUCAUGUUUUAUUUGCCUUUUGUUAUCUCAUUUGCAUAUCAUUUGCUAGGCUAAUAAAAGGUCUUCAAAACAUAACAUUUUAUUUGCCUUUUGUUUCAGCCUUUUGUUACCCAUUUUUU